AGCAGCCGCGGUAAUUCCAGCUCCAAUAGCGUAUAUUAAAGUUGUUGCAGUUAAAAAGCUCGUAGUUGAAUUUCGGGAUCAAUACGUCGGUCGUGCUUCGGUACGUACUGGCGUCAUUGAUUUCUCCCUUCUGACGAACCAUGAUGUCAUUAACUUGGUGUCAUGGGAAAUCAGGACUGUUACUUUGAAAAAAUUAGAGUGUUUAAAGCAGGCUCACGCUUGAAUACAUUAGCAUGGAAUAAUGAAAUAGGACGUUCGAUCCUAUUUUGUUGGUUUUUAGGAUCAACGUAAUGAUUAAUAGGGAUAGUUGGGGGCAUUAGUAUUCAAUUGUCAGAGGUGAAAUUCUUGGAUUUAUUGAAGACUAACUACUGCGAAAGCAUUUGCCAAGGAUGUUUUCAUUAAUCAAGAACGAAAGUUAGGGGAUCGAAGACGAUCAGAUACCGUCGUAGUCUUAACCAUAAACUAUGCCGACUAGGGAUCGGAUGAUGUUAAUUUUUUAAUGACUCAUUCGG
rnacentral:rRNA from 1 species